UACGUAGGGUGCGAGCCGUUAAUCGGAAUUACUGGGCGUAAAGCGUGCGCAGGCGGUUCGCUGUGUCCUGUGUGAAAGCCCCGGGCUUAACCUGAGAAUGGCAUGGGAAACUGGCGGGCUGGAGUGUGGCAGAGGGGGGUGGAAUUCCGCGUGUAGCAGUGAAAUGCGUAGGGAUGCGGAGGAACACCGAUGGCGAAGGCAGCCCCCUGGGCUAACACUGACGCUCAGGCACGAAAGCGUGGGGAGCAAACGAGG
rnacentral:rRNA from 1 species